rnacentral:rRNA from 1 species
CAGCCGCCGCGGUAAUACGUAGGUGGCAAGCGCUGUCCGGAAUUAUUGGGCGUAAAGGGCUCGCAGGCGGUUUCUUAAGUCUGAUGUGAAAGCCCCCGGCUCAACCGGGGAGGGUCAUUGGAAACUGGGAAACUUGAGUGCAGAAGAGGAGAGUGGAAUUCCACGUGUAGCGGUGAAAUGCGUAGAGAUGUGGAGGAACACCAGUGGCGAAGGCGACUCUCUGGUCUGUAACUGACGCUGAGGAGCGAAAGCGUGGGGAGCGAACAGGAUUAGAUACCCGCGUAGUCCCUGUCUCUUAUAC